CCUACGGCGGGCAGCAGUGGGGAAUAUUGGACAAUGGGCGAAAGCCUGAUCCAGCCAUGCCGCGUGUGUGAAGAAGGCCUUCGGGUUGUAAAGCACUUUCAGUGGGGAAGAAAGCCUUGGGGCUAAUACCCUCGAGGAAGGACAUCACCCACAGAAGAAGCACCGGCUAACUCCGUGCCAGCAGCCGCGGUAAUACGGAGGGUGCGAGCGUUAAUCGGAAUUACUGGGCGUAAAGCGCGCGUAGGCGGUCUGAUAAGCCGGUUGUGAAAGCCCCGGGCUCAACCUGGGAACGGCAUCCGGAACUGUCAGGCUAGAGUGCAGGAGAGGAAGGUAGAAUUCCCGGUGUAGCGGUGAAAUGCGUAGAGAUCGGGAGGAAUACCAGUGGCGAAGGCGGCCUUCUGGACUGACACUGACGCUGAGGUGCGAAAGCGUGGGUAGCAAACAGGAUUAGAUACCCGAGUAGUC
rnacentral:rRNA from 1 species